rnacentral:rRNA from 1 species
UACGUAGGUGCGAAGCGUGUCCGGAAUUAUUGGGCGUAAAGAGCUCGUAGGCGGUUCGUCGCGUCGGCUGUGAAAUCCCGAGGCUCAACCUCGGGUCUGCAGUCGAUACGGGCAGGCUAGAGUUCGGCAGGGGAGACUGGAAUUCCUGGUGUAGCGGUGAAAUGCGCAGAUAUCAGGAGGAACACCGGUGGCGAAGGCGGGUCUCUGGGCCGAUACUGACACUGAGGAGCGAAAGCGUGGGGAGCGAACAGG